UACGUAGGGGGCAAGCGUUGUCCGGAAUUAUUGGGCGUAAAGAGCGUGUAGGCGGCCAGAAAAGUCCGCUGUGAAAACUCGAGGCUCAACUUCGAGCUGUCGGUGGAAACUUUCUGGCUAGAGUCCGGAAGAGGAGAAUGGAAUUCCUGGUGUAGCGGUGAAAUGCGCAGAUAUCAGGAAGAACACCCGUGGCGAAGGCGGUUCUCUGGGACGGUACUGACGCUGAGACGCGAAAGCGUGGGGAGCAAACAGG
rnacentral:rRNA from 1 species